rnacentral:lncRNA from 1 species
ACCUUCACGGAUACUCCAUAUGAGAAAUGGCUGCUUUUAAACACUUGGAGGCUUUAGUAAGGAAACAUAUUUUCAGUGAAAAGACUGCUGCCAGAGCAGGAAAGAACACUGGAGUAAAUGAUAAACAAAGGCAUGGCAGAAUACGGCGUGCUGGUUAUGCAGUGCUGUGUCGCUACAGGCAGAUUUCUUCCAUCUUCACAGCAGAAUGCCAAUGAACCACCCUGUUGACAGACAUUCAUCCUUGGAGGGGGAGGCAAGCACCUUUCUGACCACAGGACCUGCUUUGAAGAGAUGAGCAGCCUGCCACCAUCGCUGGCAAAAAAGAAACAGGCACUCAGGAGAGAUUUUUUAGCAGUGUCUUAGGGGAUUGCAGGUCUUGCUGAAAGUCUCUGGAGCUGACACAUUUCAAACCUUUAGGGGAACCUGGAAGUCCCCAGUUGGAGCCUACCAAAGGCUGAAUAUUGAAAAAUGAAGAGGAAAAGGGGAUUCUUCUCUCUUUCCCAACCAGCACUGUAGAAUGAAUCUUGCCAGUCAGUCCUGAACCAUGACUGUGUUAAAUCCAAAGUCUUAACAGAGACUGGCAGAAAAUAUUAAGAUGUUUCAAAGUUGCUUCUAUAUGCCCAUGGGUAUUAUGCAAUUUGGGCUGUACUAGCUAAACAGUCUCAUUUUCACCAUAUCAUUCUUAUGGUAGCAGAGAAGAAGAAGCUAAAGCAGAAGGAAUCCUUAACAAAUUCAACAUCAUAGCUAUCAAAGGAAGAAAUUAACUCAGGCUUGACCCAAGCUUCACUGAAAUUAAUGGGAAAUUGCUGAUCAUGUUGUUAGAAGUAUGAUUAAUUCUAUGCCCAAUGGUACAGGUAUUUAUGUCAGCAGCAUAGAUUUAGGAAGACCUGUGCUGAUUUGGGCUCUGAAUGAAAACAAAACAUUCCCAGUAUCUGUGUUUUUAUGUAAAUGCAUAAUGCAGUUAUGCAACUGCCGCUGCCUGCUCCAGAGUUAUUAAAAAAAGGUAAUCCUUACCUGAAAUACUUGUCAAACUAUACCUCUGCAGCAGUUAACUCCUCAUUAGCAUCUAAUUAAUUGGCUAAAGACUCAUUGGCUUCCUCACACCUCAUUCCUGCAUGUCAGCAAAGCCAUGUCUCCUUCCUAUGGGGAGUAAGAAGAACAGAGUCUUCAGAGUGUGGCUGGCCCUCUAUAAGCUUGGUGUUCUGCUCUCCACUG